rnacentral:rRNA from 1 species
GACGAACGCUGGCGGCGUGCUUAACACAUGCAAGUCGAACGGAAAGGCCUCUUUCGGGGGGUACUCGAGUGGCGAACGGGUGAGUAACACGUGAGUAACCUGCCCUUGACUUUGGGAUAACUUCAGGAAACUGGGGCUAAUACCGGAUAGGAGCUCCUGCUGCAUGGGGGGGGUUGGAAAGUUUCGGCGGUUGGGGAUGGACUCGCGGCUUAUCAGCUUGUUGGUGGGGUAGUGGCUUACCAAGGCUUUGACGGGUAGCCGGCCUGAGAGGGUGACCGGCCACAUUGGGACUGAGAUACGGCCCAGACUCCUACGGGAGGCAGCAGGGGGGAAUAUUGCACAAUGGGUGGAAGCCUGAUGCAGCAACGCCGUGUGCGGGAUGACGGCCUUCGGGUUGUAAACCGCUUUCGCUCAUGACGAAGCUUUGUGUGACGGUAGUGGGUAAAGAAGCACCGGCUAACUACGUG